rnacentral:rRNA from 1 species
GGGACAACAGUUGGAAACGACUGCUAAUACCGCAUAAGCCCACGACCCGGCAUCGGGUAGAGGGAAAAGGAGCAAUCCGCUUUGAGAUGGCCUCGCGUCCGAUUAGCUAGUUGGUGAGGUAAUGGCCCACCAAGGCGACGAUCGGUAGCCGGACUGAGAGGUUGAACGGCCACAUUGGGACUGAGACACGGCCCAGACUCCUACGGGAGGCAGCAGUGGGGAAUAUUGCACAAUGGGGGAAACCCUGAUGCAGCGACGCCGCGUGGAGGAAGAAGGUCUUCGGAUUGUAAACUCCUGUUGUUGAGGAAGAUAAUGACGGUACUCAACAAGGAAGUGACGGCUAACUACGUGCCAGCAGCCGCGGUAAAACGUAGGUCACAAGCGUUGUCCGGAAUUACUGGGUGUAAAGGGAGCGCAGGCGGGAAGGCAAGUUGGAAGUGAAAUCCAUGGGCUCAACCCAUGAACUGCUUUCAAAACUGUUUUUCUUGAGUAGUGCAGAGGUAGGCGGAAUUCCCGGUGUAGCGGUGGAAUGCGUAGAUAUCGGGAGGAACACCAGUGGCGAAGGCGGCCUACUGGGCACCAACUGACGCUGAGGCUCGAAAGUGUGGGUAGCAAACAGGAUUAGAUACCCUGGUAGUCCACACUGUAAACGAUGAUUACUAGGUGUUGGAGGAUUGACCCCUUCAGUGCCGCAG